rnacentral:rRNA from 1 species
UUAACCUUGACGAAGUAAGACUAACACCCAAUGACGUCUCUAGAAGACAUCUGAAAGAGAUUAAAGAUUUUAUCGGUGAUGGAUGGGGAUGCGUCUGAUUAGCUUGUUGGCGGGGUAACGGCCCACCAAGGCAACGAUCAGUAGGGGUUCUGAGAGGAAGGUCCCCCACAUUGGAACUGAGACACGGUCCAAACUCCUACGGGAGGCAGCAGUGAGGAAUAUUGGUCAAUGGACGGAAGUCUGAACCAGCCAAGUAGCGUGCAGGAUGACGGCCCUAUGGGUUGUAAACUGCUUUUAUGUGGGAAUAAAGUGAGGGACGUGAGGCUUUUUGCAUGUACCUUAUGAAUAAGGACCGGCUAAUUCCGUG